AACGAACGCUGGCGGCAUGCCUAACACAUGCAAGUCGAACGAGACCUUCGGGUCUAGUGGCGCACGGGUGCGUAACGCGUGGGAACCUGCCCUUAGGUUCGGAAUAACUCCCCGAAAGGGGUGCUAAUACCGGAUAAUGUCUUCGGACCAAAGAUUUAUCGCCUUUGGAUGGGCCCGCGUUGGAUUAGCUAGUUGGUAGGGUAAAAGCCUACCAAGGCGACGAUCCAUAGCUGGUCUGAGAGGAUGAUCAGCCACACUGGGAAUGAGACACGGCCCAGACUCCUACGGGAGGCAGCAGUGGGGAAUAUUGGACAAUGGGCGAAAGCCUGAUACAGCAAUGCCGCGUGAGUGAUGAAGGCCUUAGGGUUGUAAAGCUCUUUUACCCGGGAUGAUAAUGACAGUACCGGGAGAAUAAGCUCCGGCUAACUACGUG
rnacentral:rRNA from 1 species